UCUAAGUAUAAGCAAUUAUACCGCGAAACUGCGAAUGGCUCAUUAAAUCAGUUAUCGUUUAUUUGAUAGUACCUUACUACUUGGAUAACCGUGGUAAUUCUAGAGCUAAUACAUGCUAAAAAUCCCGACUUACGGAGGGAUGUAUUUAUUAGAUUAAAAACCAAUGCCCUUCGGGGCUCCUUGGUGAUUCAUAAUAACUUCUCGAAUCGCAUGGCCUUGCGCCGGCGAUGGUUCAUUCAAAUUUCUGCCCUAUCAACUUUCGAUGGCAGGGUCUUGGCCUGCCAUGGUUACAACGGGUAACGGAGGGUUAGGGCUCGACCCCGGAGAAGGAGCCUGAGAAACGGCUACUACAUCCAAGGAAGGCAGCAGGCGCGCAAAUUACCCAAUCCCGAUACGGGGAGGUAGUGACAAUAAAUACUGAUACAGGGCUCUUUUGGGUCUUGUAAUUGGAAUGAGUACAAUUUAAAUCCCUUAACGAGGAACAAUUGGAGGGCAAGUCUGGUGCCAGCAGCCGCGGUAAUUCCAGCUCCAAUAGCGUAUAUUAAAGUUGUUGCAGUUAAAAAGCUCGUAGUUGAACCUUGGGCCUGGCUGGCCGGUCCGCCUCACCGCGUGCACUGGUUCGGCCGGGCCUUUCCCUCUGGGGAACCCCAUGCCCUUCACUGGGUGUGGUGGGAAACCAGAACUUUUACUGUGAAAAAAUUAGAGUGUUCAAAGCAGGCCUAUGCUCGAAUACAUUAGCAUGGAAUAAUAGAAUAGGACGUGUGGUUCUAUUUUGUUGGUUUCUAGGACCGCCGUAAUGAUUAAUAGGGACAGUCGGGGGCAUCAGUAUUCAAUUGUCAGAGGUGAAAUUCUUGGAUUUAUUGAAGACUAACUACUGCGAAAGCAUUUGCCAAGGAUGUUUUCAUUAAUCAGGAACGAAAGUUAGGGGAUCGAAGACGAUCAGAUACCGUCGUAGUCUUAACCAUAAACUAUGCCGACUAGGGAUCGGACGAUGUUAUUUUUUGACUCGUUCGGCACCUUACGAGAA
rnacentral:rRNA from 1 species